rnacentral:rRNA from 1 species
UACAGAGGGUGCGAGCGUUAAUCGGAAUUACUGGGCGUAAAGCGCGCGUAGGCGGCUUUGCAAGUCGGGUGUGAAAUCCCCAGGCUUAACCUGGGAACUGCAUUCGAGACUGCAUUGCUAGAGUAUGGGAGAGGGAAGUGGAAUUCCUGGUGUAGAGGUGAAAUUCGUAGAUAUCAGGAGGAACACCAGUGGCGAAGGCGGCUUCCUGGACACCAACUGACGCUGAGACGCGAAAGCGUGGGGAGCAAACAGG